AUGGGCGUGGCUUCUCUUCAAGGAUAAAAGGGCGAGGACGGCGGUUGGUGCGUUCUUUUCGAUCGUAGGAAGAGCUUGGCGUGUGGUUGCUGUUGGGGGGAUAAAGGCCCAGGAAGAGUAAGUUUUACACUGGUUCAGCUGCUUUCUCUUUUUGUUAAACGUUAUUUUGUGAGUUAAUACUGCUGUCCUUGUUUCCUAUGAGUGUGAUAACUGAUCUGUAAUGGCAUCUAAAAAAAGAACAAAACUGGGAACAUUCACUCAUAUGAGCAACCUAAUUGGGACUGGCAGAGACUUGUUGCCAUCUGAACUCCCAACACUGCGAGACAUUCUCAGAUAUGGCCUACUGUUAAGAGAACAAAGUAGUGAUGAUGCUAGAAACUACCCAGCAGCCAGUCUUGCAAGAGACAUAUAUUCAAAAGUGCUUGAAAAGUGGGAAUAAGCAAACAGUUCUUUUGUGACCUCUGUUGUAAAUUCACGAGUGACAAUCUUGAACAAGAUUCGAGAAAGCUGGGAUCGAGCCAAAAAUAUAUCUUUUGGUAGGGGAAAACUAGAUGUUAAAGAGACUUUCAUUGUGAAACUUGACAAAGUGUUUGACAUCCUCAACUGCAAGUGUCAAAUUGUUGUGUGUGCCGAAUUUGGCUGCCCUGCUGACUGUAAAAAAGAAGCUCACAUUAACUGUACUUGCCCUAAGGAGAUGGAGAUACCAUUGAAGGAACUUGCUUUCAUUAAAGGUCAGAGAGACAAGAUUGGUUCUUUUGGAUCACACAAGAUUGGUUUGCCAGAUGUGCCUAAGCAGAAACAACUAGUCAAGGCAAAAGCGGCAAGACAAUGAGAGACAAAGGCUUGCUAAAUAUAAGCAGAGAAGUAUUCCAGACAUUUGAAUUCUUGGUAGAAAACAUAUAUUUUUAGAACUGAAAAAAAAUGCAAAAAUUAAUUUUCACCCCAGAGUCUCCUUGUAGGGGAGAUAAAAAAAAGAUUUAAUGUUGAGCCAAAAUUUUGCAAGUCUUAAUGAAUUAGAAAAGUCUCAGAUGUUUUCAAAUAGCUGAAAACAAAGGAAAGCUACUGAUGGCAUAAGUAAAAUGAGAAGCUGUAAAUUUCUUUGCAUUGUUACAUUCUUUAUCACAAUGUAUUAAUAUGGAAGCUCCAUUUGGCAGCAUCCAGCCAACACUGGCUAAUUGUGAAAAAUUAGAGAAUGAGAAAAAGACAGGAAAUCCAAAAUAAAUGCCAGAAGUAGAUGAGGAAGCACUUGGUUUGUUGCCAAAAAAACAUGGUAUUUUUUCAGUGAAAUUAAACAAAUUGAGUUUUUCAAAGAUUACACUUCAUUAAUGCUAGAAAUAUUACUGUAAUUUACAAACUCAUUAAGGAAAGAGAUUAACAUUUUAAUUUUUCUAAAUAUUUAGAGGGUAUUGAAGUUUUGUCUGCCCAUAUUUUUAUCUGACAAGCAGAAAAGAAAACAGGUUACCCUGACACAAUCUGAAUUGGUCUUCACACGUCAUCCUUAGUGAAGUGUGUAAACCAGCAUCUGCAUUUCCUGGGUCAGAUGAGAACACAUCUUUUUCUUUUUAUCCUGCCUAUUUUUUACAGAGCUAUUGAGAGCAUUUUGAUAAACUGCAUCACUGGUUUGAUGGCAGCAGUGCCUCAGAUUCAGAGUCCAUUCAGAGAGUGGUAAGGACAGCUGAAAAGAUUAUAGGAAACUCGCUUCCUGUUAUUCAGGAUACUGCUUAUAAGCACUAUGUGCUUAGAGCUCAAAGCAUUUGAGACCCCACAGACCCAUUUUACAGUCUGUUUGGGUAGCUCCCCUUUGGGAGGAGGUUUCAAAGUAUUUCUGUAGCAGUUUCUGUAACAGCAUUGUUCCCUAUGCCAUUCAUCUGGUAAACUAGCAAGAUUCAUAUACUUUUAUUUAUUUAUUUAAUUUAUUAUGUCAUGUUUAUGUAGUGUAUAUUGGAGGUGGUGGCCCUUUGAGAGCUGUGUGCAAUGAAAUUUCAUUUUAUAAUGUAUGCCAAUUAGUGUACAUUCAAAGUGACAAUAAAGUUAUUUUAUUUUA